ACUGUGCAUCUUCAUUUCAGAUGUGCUUGCUCUGGGUAACACCCGCAGCAGCCAACAAUAAAGAAGCUAGACAGUGCUAAUAACCCAUCAACAAAGACAGUGGCCAUGGAAAAGUCUGUGGCUUCUGAGAGAUUUCCUCCAUCCCUCCUCCAGGAAACAACAAGGAUGAGUCUGACUUGUGCACAGUAAAGUGUUUGUCAUUGAACCUACAGCAACAAAUUACACAACUGAAGAGACAGGAAAUGAUAUGGAGCAGGUAGUGAAGAAAGGGGCGCUGACUGCUGGAAAGAGGGUGUCACAAUCUGCCGACCCAGAAACAAGAUGCAGACGGCAGCACUGCAUGCAAAAAUCACGAG